rnacentral:rRNA from 1 species
UAGCUUGAGCAUCGAACGAGAAGCGGCUUCGGUCCUGUGGACGUGGCGAACGGGUGCGUAACACGUGAGCAACCUGCCCCUAAGUACGGAAUACCCACCGAAGGUGGAUUAAUACCGCAUGUGACCCUUUAUCGCAUGGUAAGUGGUUAAAGCUUGUAAUGGCGCUUAGGGAUGGGCUCGCGGCCUAUCGGCUUGUUGGUGAGGUAACGGCUCCCAAGGCUAAACGGGUAGCUGGUCUGAAGGAUGAUCACCACCCGGGACUGAACACGGCCCGGACACCUACGGGGGCAGCAUUUCAAUCUUCACAGGGCAAAGCCUGAUGAUGCAAUGCCGCGUGGAGAUGACGGCCCUAGGGUUGUAAACUCCUGUCAUUAGGGAACAACAAGUAGGUUCAUAGCCUACCCUGAGUUAACCUAAAGAGGAAGAGGUGGCUAACUCCGUGCCAGCAGCCGCGGUAAUACGGAGACCUCGAGCGUUACUCGGAUUUACUGGGCGUAAAGGGUGAGCAGGCGGCCAGGUGUGUUAGGUGUGAAAUCCCGGGGCUCAACCCCGGAACUGCGCCUAAAACUACCUGGCUAGAGUAUCGAGAGGACAGUGGAAUUCCAGGUGUAGCGGUGAAAUGCGUAGAUAUCUGGAGGAACACCAGUGGCGAAGGCGACUGUCUGGACGAUUACUGACGCUCAAUCACGAAAGCGUGGGUAGCGAAGGAUUAAUACCCCUGUAGUCCACGCCGUAAACGUUGUGCACUAGUUUCGAGGAUUCGACCCUUCGAGCUCAAGCUAACGCGUUAAGUGCACCGCCUGAGACUACGGCCGCAAGGCUAAAACUCAAAGGAUUGACGGGGGCCCGCACAAGCGGUGGAGCAUGUGCUUAAUUCGAGGCAACGCGAAGAACUUACCUGGUCUUGACAUGCCGUCAUAGUUUUCGAAAGGAAUUCGUCAGUUCGGCUGGGUGCAGGUGCUGCAUGGCUGUCUCAGCUCGUGUCUGAGAUGUUCGGUAAGUCCGCACCCUUGUUGCCCGUAGCGGUCUGGAAGACACUGGGGUGGAAUAGACACAA